rnacentral:rRNA from 1 species
CGGCCGCGUCGACGACGACUUGUAAGCUUAGUGGCGAACGGGUGAGUAACACGUGAGCAACCUGCCCCACGAGUGGGGACGGAACAAGUUGGUAAACGGAACUGCUAAUAACCGCCAUAAGACCCACCGGUACCGGCCAUGGUACGAGAGGGGAAAAGGGAAGCAAUUAGUCUCCACUACAAGAUGGACCGUGCGUUGUAUUAGCUAGUAGGUGAGGUAAUGGCGUCACCUAGGCGACGAUACAUAGCCGACCUGAGAGGGUGGAUCGGCCGACACUGGGACUGAGAC